GCGACCCCAGGUCAUGCGGGACUACCCGCUGAGUUUAAGCAUAUCAAUAAGCGGAGGA
rnacentral:rRNA from 1 species